UUGGAUUAAAUUAUAAAGUGUUGGGUUAAAAGUUCAGGAAGCACAUAUGUAAACGGGUCAAUUUGCCCGGGUCCACACCAAAACCAAAAUACAAAACAAUAAUAAGCCAAACUAAUAAAUAAUUAAGUCUAAGUCCAAAGUCCAUAACCCAUUACAGACCCAAAACCAUUACAGUGCCCCAAAACCCAAAUACUUAGAAUCCAAAACGGACCCCAAAAUGCUACAAACCCAGCCCGAUGGCCCAACACAACAGAAACAGGCUCCAAGGGCUUGUUACUCGAACAAUCAGCCAAAUAGAAACCCUAGGGUUUCCACUCUUGUGCCGCAGCCAAGCCCAACCUUUAGUACCGUACAACCGCUACGGGCGACCUCCAUACGCCUUACUCCGAGUGCCACGACCAUGCCUCCGUAUGCUCCGUACACGCACCUCCACAGCCUGUACCUACACACCAAAUGCAAGAGGACAACAACAAAUAUAGAAAAAAUUAUAUUUUUUUAUUUUGAUUUUUCUUUUCGGCUAUAAAGCCAAGAGAUAUCAUUUUUGUGAGGGUUACGCACACUAAAUAUCAAAAAAAGCACUUCGAAAGUAAAUUUUUAAGGUGAUUUUUUUUGUUUCCUAAUGGCUUUAGUUUUCUGUGAAUUAUUUCGUUUUCUUUUUCAGUCAUUCGCUGUUGCUUUUUAAAAAUAAAAGAGCAAGAUAAUAGCGGGGUCUUACCUUGCAAAUCAGCCAUUGAUUCUUCUUUGCUUCGUCAGAAUUGAAGGCAAAGAGGAAUCUCGAGGCCGUAAAGCGUUUCAAAGGGGCGAAUAUGCCUGUUGUUGGCUGCGAAGGAGUCAGGGCCAAGUGAUUAGGUUUAGGUCGGCUGAAGGA
rnacentral:lncRNA from 1 species